CUUGGUCAUUUUAGAGGAAGUA
rnacentral:rRNA from 1 species